rnacentral:sRNA from 1 species
UUUAGAACAUUUGAAGAGAGA